GGGUUAUUGUCGUAAGAUGAUAAUUCCGAGUGGCGAACGGGUGAGUAACACGUAGGUGACCUGCCCCGGAGAGGGGGAUAACGGCUCGAAAGGGCUGCUAAUACCCCAUUCUGCUCACAGUGGUUAGAGGCUCAGUGAGGAAAGGUGAAGACGCUCCGGGAGGGGCCUGCGGCCCAUCAGGUAGUUGGUGAGGUAACGGCCCACCAAGCCGAAGACGGGUAGGGGGCCUGAGAGGGUGGUCCCCCACACGGGCACUGAGAUACGGGCCCGACGACUACGGGAGGCAGCAGUGUAUCUUGAUGUAAACUCGAGCCUCUGGAAGAUCUGGGG
rnacentral:sRNA from 1 species